CCAAUUCUGACUUCAAGCUGCAAGGGUCCUGGGCGCCCUGGGGGAACCAUGAGGCCCUGGGUCUGAAAUCGAUUCUCUGUGGGCAGCAGGGCAGCAGUGGCAGGCAGGAGCUCAGCUGUCACUUCGAAGACUUUUAUAGAGUCUGACAGCAGUGCUGGCUCCCUGUCUUUUGUCUUUUGUAUUCUGUUUGCAUUCAGCCUUUAAUCGAGGUGGGAAAUAACAUGAAGGGGCUUUUAGGAAAAGAUCUGUACUUGCACUCUCAGGUACCAGGAGAAUCCUCGGAGGAGACUCCUGCCCAACAGCUGCAUCUCAGAGGCUGGUGAGCAGGCGGCAUUUACCGUUGCGUAAAAACAAGCAGGCCCAGACUGGGCAGUGGGGAGGCGCUGGACCAAAGGUCAGGAGUGCUGGGAUUCAGAGGCUGCUCUUCUGAGACCAGGUCCCAUGUCUCCAACAGCUUCCCAGGGAAACAGCUCCAGUCUCUCAAAAGGGCUUCUGGAGGGCCCUGCCUGGCUGCCCUAAAUUCUCACCACAGUCCUCUGGAGUAGGAGGUGCUGGGACCGUUGUGUGAGACAGGGGCCCUAAGUCUUCCCCUGGCCUCCAGACCCUCUAGGCCUGGCUGCUCUUAACCUCCUACUGCCUCCUGUCCACUACAGGCACACAUCAAAUACCCUCUCAGCUCAGGGCUUCUGCCCUGGUGUUUCCUUAGCUCAGAACCUUCUCCCCACAUGGUGAGGGGUACUCUGUGACUGACGUCCUACACCUGCCAUCCUGUAGGUCUGCGCUCCGGUGUCACCUCCACAGGUGUCACCUCCUCCUUAUCUGAGUCCUGUUUAAAUCAACCCAUUGCUCUCAGGUCUUUUCUCUGCCUUUUAGACCUAAUUGUACUGUCAUUAUCUGGUGUCAAGUUAUUUGUUUCUGUCUGUCCCUCACAGACCUUAAUAUACUCCAUGUAUUAACCCUUGCGUGUUCCCCGACAUUGUUGGAGAAGCUUACAGAUCUCUCUUUAGAAUAAAGACUUACCAAUGCAUAAGAUAUAGCACACAGUAUUGCUAAAUUUUAGUUGAAUGAAAAUAAAGGUGAAUUCUUUUUUUCUAUCCAAGUUUACAGAUUCUCUUGAGUUCUUAAGCUUAGGCCACAAAUGUUGUUUUCUUCCCCACUA